rnacentral:lncRNA from 1 species
CACACACACAUCUUCUAUCUUUUGGGAUACUCACACACACACGUCUUCUAUCUUUUGGGAUACUCACACACACACGUCUUCUAUCUUUUGGGAUACUCACACACACACACGUCUUCUAUCUUUUGGGAUACUCACACACACACACGCUAUCUUUUGGGAUACUCACACACACACACACGUCUUCUAUCUUUUGGGAUACUCACACACACACACACACACACAUACACGUCUUCUAUCUUUUGGGAUACAGGACAUGCCAGGUAUUGUGAAGAGGAUGAAAGAUUCAGUUUGUUCCACUUGAAGCUUCCAUCCGUCCCAGUUCACGUUUCCCCCGUCCUUCUUCAUAUCAUUUGUCCAUAGGUAGGGUGAAACAAAUUU